GGAAAUUGUUACUGAAGAGAAAAUUCACGUUGCCAUUUCCAAAAGGGUUGAACCACCACCUAAAGUCCCUGAGCUACCUGAGAAACCAGCUCCAGAAGAAGUGGCCCCUGUUCCUAUCCCUAAAAAAGUGGAGCCCCCAGCACCAAAAGUUCCUGAGGUUCCCAAGAAACCCGUGCCAGAGGAGAAAAAGCCAGUUCCUGUGCCUAAGAAGGAACCUGCUGCUCCCCCAAAAGUCCCAGAGGUGCCAAAGAAACCUGUCCCUGAAGAAAAGAUUCCCGUUCCUGUUGCAAAGAAAAAGGAAGCUCCCCCAGCUAAAGAAGUAACUAUAAUGGAAGAGAAAGAAAGGGCUUAUACCCUAGAAGAAGAAGCUGUUUCAGUACAACGGGAAGAAGAAUAUGAGGAAUAUGAAGAAUAUGAUUAUAAAGAAUUUGAGGAGUAUGAACCAACAGAAGAAUAUGACC
rnacentral:lncRNA from 1 species